UCGUUACUCUCCCCCUCCUCCAGGUCACCGGAGUUGGUGGCCUCACCUGCCCUGUCGGGUGGAGGGGUGCUUACAUCUCAGUUUGGCCUGGGGUCUCCAGGGUCCUAAGUCAGGUGGACCUGAGUUCCAGGGCCAUUGGCUAACCCUGUGACCAGGGCUGGCACUCUACCUUCCCGAGCCUCAGUUUCUUCGUCUGUGAAAUGGGGGGGGAGGAUAAAAGGUGACCAUAACAGUAAGGAACACACACAGUCAGUGGAGAGCCCUGUGUGGCAGGGCUCACUAUUCUUGCUUCACAGACGAGAAAACGGAGGCCCAGAGAGGCUCAAGACCACACAAGGGGCAAGUGAGAGAGCUGGAUUCAAACCCGGACCAGCUGGUGCCCCUGGGCGCACACACUGCUCUGCUGGUCCCAGGGGCCAGCCUGACUGCCACCCUUCACGGAUGCAGAGAGAGGUGACUCCCUCCCUAUUGGGCAGAGGGAGACUCACAUUCAGGUCUGCCCAGGCCCCUGGUCAGGCUAUUCCCAGGCUGGCAAAGAUGCCUCCCACUUCGCAGCACUGCUUGGAGCGAGACCCUCCUCCACCCCCUCCCUGCCACGGAACACCCGAGAUGGGAAGGACCUUAAGGAGGAAGGUGUGAUCCAGGGGUUUUCAGACACUUAUGGCUGUGGAACCCCUUUUUCAAGUGCUUUGUGACCCAGAAGCUUAUUUAAAACAGAUAAAAAUGGAGCUGCCCUCCCUCACCUCCGUGAUAUCCCCCAAGUCCUCCCAGGUGGGACCAUGAGGCACUGAAGGGUUGGUUUGGGGCCUUGUCCAAGGUCAUACCGACUCCGUCUAGGACCCAGGCCUCCCCACAUCUGCUCUGGGCUAAGACUGGCUUGGGAAGGGGGAAGGUCCAGGUGUAGGGGUCCAGCUGCCACCACUUACCUGCCAUUCAGCACCCCUGGCCACCUGUCCCACCUCUGCCACUGCUCCCAGGCGGAGAGCAGCGUCCCGGCCAAGUGUCUCCUGCACCAGCCCGGCUGUCGGUGUCACCUCGGCAGGUGCCAAGCUUCCUGCAAUGGAAACCCAGGAAGUGCCCUGGAUGAGAACACACGCCCUUUGUCUGCCAGCUCAGAGGGCCUCCUCCCCUCCUCCUGCCCUGCCAGCCCCCACCAGCUUUCUCCCAAGCCACUGGGCAAGGGGGCUCAGUCUUGUGUGAGGGUCAUGGCAGCUGAGACCUUGGGUGGCAGGGACUGGGUGGGAGAGAGGUUUGGGGGCAAGGUCCAGGGCAGUGGGGACAUUUGCUGCUGUCCAGUCUGCUGGGGACAAUGGCACCUGCUGCUCAUAGAGGAGGGCUUUGACCCAACAAACACUGGCUGGGCACCUACUCUGUGCUCAGCAUAAGUCAAGAAGCCCACGGGAAUCAAGUCGGACACAAUCAAUCCUGUCCCCACGGGACUUACAGGGAGGUGGGGAGAGGGACACAUAACGCAAAUUAAUAUAAUAAUUACCAGUGGUGAAGUGUGCUAUGAAGGCAUGACCAAGGGGCUGAGACAGAAUAAGGGGUGCAGGCGAGGGUCAGGCAGGCCUCUGGAGGGUGACGUUUCUUUGUUUUUUAUUAUGAAAGUUUUUGUUGUACAUUAUUGUUUGUCAGUCAUCAUAUAAGUGCAUCCCUCCACCCCUUGUGCCCAACCCCCAGCCCCCUUGCCCCAGAGAGUUCUGUCUGUCCGUGCGUUGGUUUAUCUUCCACAUAUGAGUGACAUCAUGCA